GUAGUCCCAGCUGUAAAUAAUGCGGACUGUGGUGUUGCUUCAGAGUUAAUCUGCAGCAGUGCUGUAGCGUAGGUGUUAAGUCCGCCGCCUGGGGAGUACGGCCGCAAGGUUGAAACUUAAAGGAAUUGGCGGGGGAGCACCACAAGGGGUGGAUGCUACGGUUUAAUUGGAUACAACGCCGUGAACUUCACCAAGGGCGACGGCAGAAUGAAGGCCAGACUAAAGAUCUUGCCUAACAAGCCGAGAGGUGUUGCAUGGCCAUCGUCAGCUCGUGGCGUGAGUUGUCUGGUUAAGUCCAGCAACGAGCGAGACCCAUACCAUUAAUUGCUACUUUUACCUUUAGUAAGAGGCACCUUAAUGGGACUGCCCGCGUUAAGUGGGAGGAAGGAGUGGGCGACGGUAGGUCAGUAUGGCCCGAAUCCCUUGGGCUACACGCGGCAUACAAUGGCUGGAACAAUGGGUUGCUACUCCGAAAGGAGGCGCUAAUCCCCUAAAUCCAGUCUUAGUUCGGAUUGAGGGUUGAAACUCACCCUCAUGAAGCUGGAAUCCCUAGUAAUCGCGU
rnacentral:rRNA from 1 species